UACGGGGGGUGCGAGCGUUGUCCGGAAUCACUGGGCGUAAAGGGCGCGUAGGUGGCCUGAUAAGGGUGUGGUGAAAGUCCGGGGCUCAACCCCGGAUCUGCCGUGCCGACUGUUAGGCUAGAGUACUGUAGGGGCAGGCGGAAUUCCGGGUGUAGCGGUGGAAUGCGUAGAGAUCCGGAGGAAGACCGGUGGCGAAGGCGGCCUGCUGGGCAGUACUGACACUGAGGCGCGACAGCGUGGGGGGAGCAAACAGG
rnacentral:rRNA from 1 species